rnacentral:rRNA from 1 species
GCGAGCAGGUGCGAAAGCAGGUCAUAGUGAUCCGGUGGUUCUGAAUGGAAGGGCCAUCGCUCAACGGAUAAAAGGUACUCCGGGGAUAACAGGCUGAUACCGCCCAAGAGUUCAUAUCGACGGCGGUGUUUGGCACCUCGAUGUCGGCUCAUCACAUCCUGGGGCUGAAGUAGGUCCCAAGGGUAUGGCUGUUCGCCAUUUAAAGUGGUACGCGAGCUGGGUUUAGAACGUCGUGAGACAGUUCGGUCCCUAUCUGCCGUGGGCGCUGGAGAACUGAGGGGGGCUGCUCCUAGUACGAGAGGACCGGAGUGGACGCAUCACUGGUGUUCGGGUUGUCAUGCCAAUGGCACUGCCCGGUAGCUAAAUGCGGAAGAGAUAAGUGCUGAAAGCAUCUAAGCACGAAACUUGCCCCGAGAUGAGUUCUCCCUGACUCCUUGAGAGUCCUGAAGGAACGUUGAAGACGACGACGUUGAUAGGCCGGGUGUGUAAGCGCAGCGAUGCGUUGAGCUAACCGGUACUAAUGAACCGUGAGGCUUAACCUU